UGUCGGGCUCGGGAAUCGGCGGGUUGGCUCCGGGGUGCGGCGCUCGGGGCUACCCCUUGGCCAGGGCCUUCCCGCGGAGGACAGGCGCUCCAGAAAGAGAAGGGGACUGUGAAUGGGGAGGAGAAGCCGGCGGCGCAGACCACGGUCCCCGGGGCGGUGCGGGGGCGCCUGUGAACUUAGCCGCCCCGGAGGCUCGUGCCGUGAGGCGCGAGGCUGGCGGCCGUUUCUCCUGGAAGGGCCAGCAGCCCGGCCCUCGCCGUCCCCUCUCUGAGGCCUCCGUCCUUCCAGAGCCCCGGAUUGGGAAUCUGAGCAAAGAGAUGGUGGACCUGGGGUUUGAAUCCCGGCUAUCUUCACUCCAGAAUGUGAGCCUCAGACUCACUCUAAAAGGCAGAAGAAGGUCAAGUGGAGGGUAUCCUGGAGUUGACAUUGUCAUCUUGUAACCAUCGUGAUAAAGACUGACUUGAUUCCGGCAAGAAUCAUGAAGAUAUUCAAUUUCCUCUAUUUAAUAAUCUAAGGAAUGGGAUAGCUGCACGGUUGUAAAACGCAUCUCUCUGUUCAUCCGUUACAAGGGAAAAUGCUUAACUAGAGACUGGAGCCAUCGGACAAAAUUAAAAUCACUCAGGAGGAGCAGACAGACAUUGGGUGCCUCUUGCUGUCACACUGAGAAGGACACGACCACACGUACGCAGACAUCCAGCCAGGAAGGCCUAACCUCUAUAUGCUAAUGAAGACACAGCCGACAGAGCUCAAGGGAGGAACAUUCUAGUAAAGGGAAAGUCUGUGCUUUUCCACCAGGUCACUGUCAUAAAAGACAAAGGCUGACCACUCCAGAUCAGAGGAGACUAAAGAGAAACAACAGUGUACUGCAAUACAUCAUGGCUAGCCUGGAUUCUGGACUACAGGGGCAGAUACUCCGUAAAGGAUAUCAUUGAGACAAUUGGCAAAAUGGAUGGUAAAUUCGAUACCAGAGUGCACUGACAUUACAUCUAGUGAAGUGGAGAACUGUACCGCACUGGGGGAGGAAAUAUUAAGUAUUUCAGGGUAAAGGAACGGGAUGUAUGCAACUUAUUCUCAAAUAAUUUGGAAUAAAAGUCACAUGGAGAGAGAGAGAGAGGAAGUAACUUUAAGAGGUGAGGUUGGACGAAAGGACAUACGGAUGCCCUUUGUAUUUUUCUGUAACUUUGAAAUUAUUUCCAAAUAAAAAGCUAAACCAAAAAAUCCAGCCUCCUUACCAUGGCCCACAAGGCACCUGCCACUGUCCCCAGCCAGCCAGGCCAGGCUUGGCUUGACCACAGGCUCCAGCACACUCAGCUCCAUAGACACGAGCUGCCUUCCAGGUUUCCCAACAUACCAAGUUCUCGGCCACCUCUGGGCUUUUGUGCGAGUGCACCCAUGACCUCUACAUGGAAUUCUCUUCCCUCAACUCGGUUCUCAGGUAUCACGUAAUUGUCGUUUUCUCAAAGUGGCCUUUGAUGCUCCCAAAGUGGUUUCCCUGGUUCUUUCACAGGACCCUGAACGCUUCCUUCGUGAUACUUGUCACGGUUUUAUUUGGGGAAGAUUGCUUAAGGUCCAUCUGCUCUAGUGGCUUGAAAGCCCCCUGAAGCCAGGGAUCCAGUCUGUUUCAUUCAGCAAUGUGUCCUCCACCCCUCGCUCCUAGACCGGACCCACUGCCAGGCACGUCACAGACCACUGAUUAAACAACAAAUUCCACCCUCCAAGUCCACAGCCACACCAGGGGCAGCUCUCAGAGAACACACCCCACCACCCAUCUCUAGCCCCAAGAACUGACUCAAGAGGCUUCGUCUAUGAAGGUUUCUGGGGUUCCCCGCCGCUAUACCAGUAUUUGAAUGUAGGGGGCCAUGGGAAGGAGG